rnacentral:rRNA from 1 species
UACGAAGGGGGCUAGCGUUGUUCGGAAUUACUGGGCGUAAAGGGCGCGCAGGCGGUCGUUCAAGUCAGGCGUGAAAGCCCCGGGCUCAACCUGGGAACAGCGCUUGAGACUGAGCGACUUGAGUUCGGGAGAGGAGAGCGGAAUUCCGAGUGUAGAGGUGAAAUUCGUAGAUAUUCGGAAGAACACCAGUGGCGAAGGCGACUCACUGGACACGUAUUGACGCUGAGGUGCGAAAGCGUGGGGAGCAAACAGG